GACGAACGCUGGCGGCGUGCUUAACACAUGCAAGUCGAACGGAAAGGCCCUGCUUUUGUGGGGUGCUCGAGUGGCGAACGGGUGAGUAACACGUGAGUAACCUGCCCUUGACUUUGGGAUAACUUCAGGAAACAGGGGCUAAUACAGGAUAGGAGCUCCUGCUGCAUGGUGGGGGUUGGAAAGUUUCGGCGGUUGGGGAUGGACUCGCGGCUUAGCAGCUCGUUGGUGGGGUAGUGGCUUACAAAGGCUGUGACGGGUAGCCGGCCUGGGAGGGUGACCGGCCACAUUAGGACGGAGCUGCGGCCCAGACUCCUACGGGAGGCGGCAGUGGGGAAUAUGGCACAAGGGGCGGGGGCCUGGUGCGGCAACGCCGCGUGCGGGAUGACGGCCUUCGGGUUGUAAACCGCUUUCGCCUGUGACGAAGCGUUAGUGACGGUAAUGGGUAAAGAAGCACCGGCUAACUACGUG
rnacentral:rRNA from 1 species